UACGGGAGGCAGCAGUGGGGAAUAUUGCACAAUGGGCGCAAGCCUGAUGCAGCCAUGCCGCGUGUAUGAAAAAGGCCUUCGGGUUGUAAAGUACUUUCAGUCGUGAGGAAGGUGUUAAGGUUAAUAACCUUAGCAAUUGACGUUAGCGACAGAAGAAGCACCGGCUAACUCCGUGCCAGCAGCCGCGGUAAUACGGAGGGUGCGAGCGUUAAUCGGAAUUACUGGGCGUAAAGGGCACGCAGGCGGUUAAUUAAGUUGGAUGUGAAAUCCCCGGGCUUAACCUGGGAAUGGCAUUCAAGACUGGUUAGCUAGAGUCUUGUAGAGGGGGUAGAAUUCCAUGUGUAGCGGUGAAAUGCGUAGAGAUGUGGAGGAAUACCGGUGGCGAAAGGCGGCCCCUGGACAAAGACUGACGCUCAUGUGCGAAAAGCGUGGGGAGCAAACAGGGAUUAGAUACC
rnacentral:rRNA from 1 species